UAGGAUAGAGGCCUACCAUGGUGGUAACGGGUAACGGGGUGUUAGGGCACGACACCGGAGAGGGAGCCUGAGAAACGGCUACCACAUCCAAGGAUGGCAGCAGGCGCGCAAAUUACCCAAUCCCGACACGGGGAGGUAGUGACAAUAAAUAACAAUACGGGGUUCUUUAGGAUCUCGUAAUUGGAAUGAGUACAAUUUAAAUCUCUUAACGAGGAACAAUUGGAGGGCAAGUCUGGUGCCAGCAGCCGCGGUAAUUCCAGCUCCAAUAGCGUAUAUUAAAGUUGUUGCAGUUAAAAAGCUCGUAGUUGAAUUUCGGGGUUAGUAGGUUGGUCAUGCCUCUGGUAUGUACUGGUCUCACUGAUUCCUCCUUCCUUAUGAACCGUAAUGCCAUUAAUUUGGUGUUGCGGGGAAUUUGGACUGUUACUUUGAAAAAAUUAGAGUGUUUAAAGCAAGCUAACGCUUGAAUACAUUAGCAUGGAAUAAUGAAAUAGGACGUUCGAUCUUAUUUUGUUGGUUUCUAGGAUUGACAUAAUGAUUAAUAGGGAUAGUUGGGGGCAUUAGUAUUCAAUUGUCAGAGGUGAAAUUCUUGGAUUUAUUGAAGACUAACUACUGCGAAAGCAUUUGCCAAGGAUGUUUUCAUUAAUCAAGAACGAAAGUUAGGGGAUCGAAGACGAUCAGAUACCGUCGUAGUCUUAACCAUAAACUAUGCCGACUAGGGAUCGGAUGAUGUA
rnacentral:rRNA from 1 species